UUCCCUACGGGAGGCAGCAGUGGGGAAUAUUGGGCAAUGGGCGCAAGCCUGACCCAGCAACGCCGCGUGAAGGAAGAAGGCUUUCGGGUUGUAAAGUUCUUUAAUUGGGGACGAAAAAAAUGACGGUACCCAAGGAAUAAGCCCCGGCUAACUACGUGCCAGCAGCCGCGGUAAUACGUAGGGGGCAAGCGUUGUUCGGAAUGACUGGGCGUAAAGGGUGUGUAGGCGGUGUAGCAAGUUAGAAGUGAAAUACCUAGAGCUUAACUCAGGGGCUGCUUCUAAAACUGCUAUACUUGAGUGCAGUA
rnacentral:rRNA from 1 species